UACGUAGGGUGCGAGCGUUGUCCGGAAUUAUUGGGCGUAAAGAGCUCGUAGGCGGUCUGUCGCGUCUGCUGUGAAAUCCCGAGGCUCAACCUCGGGCUUGCAGUGGGUACGGGCAGGCUAGAGUGCGGUAGGGGAGACUGGAAUUCCUGGUGUAGCGGUGAAAUGCGCAGAUAUCAGGAGGAACACCGGUGGCGAAGGCGGGUCUCUGGGCCGAUAUUGACGCUGAGGAGCGAAAGCGUGGGGAGCGAACAGG
rnacentral:rRNA from 1 species